UUCAGGUACGGUGAUAUGGUACCUGCCACCAUAGCUGGAAAGAUUGUAGGUGGUGUAUGUUCCCUUAGCGGCGUGCUGGUAAUCGCUCUUCCAGUACCAGUAAUAGUAUCUAAU
rfam:Dendroctonus ponderosae Seq01037048, whole genome shotgun sequence.